GGAAAGGAGUUCAAUUGAAAUAAUGUGGAGGGAAGUCUGUGAAGGUUACUGGUCUUCCCUCUACGUCUGCUCAUUUAUUAUCAUUUCGCUUCUGAUUUGUGAUAAUAAGUUGUGACAUCAUAUUGUGGAGCACUUAGGUCUCACCAUUAGGUCAGCAGUUUGAAAAUUACCAUGUGGUUUCUCCCUAGUCUUUCCAAUGACUCAAUCAAGAAGUGUGAAUCUAGCAGUCUCAUUUCCUGGUUGCUUCUUUGGGGUCAACUAUCAGCUCAUCCUCCUGCACUGCUAAACUGACUUCAGGCCAUGUCUCUGUGAUGAAAUCAUCAAUGUGCUCAUCUGCUCUCAGGCCUUCAACUACCAUUUACAUAAUGGCAACUCUCAAAUUCCUAUCUUGAAUCCUGAACUGUGCCUGUUAUACCAUGGUCACCUGGAAUCUCAACAUGUGGAUUUAUCCUAGAAUGAGACACCAUGAAAUAAGACACCUGCCCUCACAAAACUGAUCCUGCGGGGACUCCCCAGUAAACAGAGUCAUCAGUUAUCUAUAUACAUUAACUACUAAAUGGGCAUAUGUCUCCCUUCUUCAAAGAAGAAAAGUCCUAACUGCUGGCUACUCCAGAAUAAAAAGGAAAAGAUAUAUUCACUUCUUUCCAAUAUUAGGCUGGAAAAAAGGGCAAUACUAAGCAACCAGAAGCCUAAUCUCUGACCUGGAUUAGCACUUCCAUGGGUGAAAGAAAGGUACUGUCUCCACUGCUUAUGCUGGAGCUCUAUACUGCACUA